rnacentral:lncRNA from 1 species
UGCUAUGAGUUACGGGAUAAGAAACAAUUGCUACUGCUAGAACUGGCCAUAGUACAAGGUACAUCUCGAACUUGAAACUUAACGGUUCGAGUUCCGACAUACUCCAUUAUUUCCAGACACUCGUGUAAAUCCGAGUCGCUAACCAACAUUACCCAUUCCCCUUCAUCAUCUAAAUAGUUCAGUUGGAAUGUCCCGUUUUGAACUUUGAACCUUUUUGCAACUUCUUCAUAUACUUGGAAGCAUCCUGCAGAUGGCUCAAACUUAAAACGGACUGUAUUUUCUUUGUAAGUAGCUUUUAUGGUAAUUUUCGAGCUGCUAUCAACACAAGUUUUCAUUCUAGAAUUUUUGGCUUCCAUAGAUUUCUCAGAGCUUGAUGAACUUCCAUGUAACCUUGAACCAGAGACAUUUGAAGUGUCUGUCAUGCUUGAAGAAGUAUGUUGGCGGUUAUAUUCAUCAAUCCCAUCAUCACCUUCCUUUCGGGUAUCCAUCUCAUCGGUAGCAGCUAAGGAGCUUGAGUUCAGAGACACGAAGUGGCAGUCGGC